ACAGAUGAAAAGCUGCGAGGCUCGCCCCAUACAGGACAAGGUUUCGACCAUCGUCUACAUUUGCGAGCGGGCUAAGGUCUGAGCAUUCUAAUCAUUCUCGAUCGAUCCUAGCGGGAUCCAGCUGUCAUCGGCUGCAACGGCGUAUCAGAAAUCCGACCCAUCGCGUUUAUCCUCUCGAGGAAGCCCAAAAAUCGCCCGAUCUUGUUGGCAGGAGGGCAUGGUGUGGUGUGGUCUUGGAACUCGCUGUAAUGAUUGGGUGGCGAGGCAUUGGACCGACUUUGCUCUGUCACCGGGGCAGAGUCGGUUGGGCACGACUAUCCUUCAGCUCACUUCGCAGCGCAUUUGAUAGUUCUCUUCCUGGGAGAAAGCUAGUUGAAACUCGAUUCAGACUACUCUUCAUCUGU
rnacentral:RNase_P_RNA from 2 species